rnacentral:rRNA from 1 species
GUGGGGAAUAUUGGACAAUGGGCGAAAGCCUGAUCCAGCCAUGCCGCGUGAGUGAUGAAGGCCUUAGGGUUGUAAAGCUCUUUCAGUAGGGAAGAUAAUGACGGUACCUACAGAAGAAGCCCCGGCUAACUUCGUGCCAGCAGCCGCGGUAAUACGAAGGGGGCUAGCGUUGUUCGGAUUUACUGGGCGUAAAGCGCACGUAGGCGGAUCGUUAAGUCGGGGGUGAAAUCCUGGAGCUCAACUCCAGAACUGCCUUCGAUACUGGCGAUCUUGAGUCCGGAAGCGGUGAGUGGAACUCCUAGUGUAGAGGUGGAAUUCGUAGAUAUUAGGAAGAACACCAGUGGCGAAGGCGGCUCACUGGUCCGGUACUGACGCUGAGGAGCGAAAGAGUGGGGAGCAAACAAGAUUAGAUACCCCAGUAGUCA